AAAUUUAAUUUUGGAUUUGAGGCAUCUUUAACUUUUAAUUUUUUGUUUAUUUUUUAUAAGGGUUAAUUGUAUGUAGCUAUUUGUAAACAUAGCGAAUUACAAAUAUAUUCUAUUUUCAAAUAUGUCCCUACUGAAUCCGUUAUAAAAUUUUAGUUAACUAUAGAUAAAAUACUUACUCUUUGGUUAGUCAAUUAGAUAAAUUGAUAUUUUUAUCCAAAUACUUACUUUUUGGUUAGUCAAUUAGAUAAAUUGAUAUUUUUAUCCUUCUUAUAUUAUAUUCUCCCAAUCAAAACUCUAGCAAUGAAAACUUUUUUUCUUAUUCUUCCGCUUCUUCUUUCUUUUUUCUCCUUCAUGCUAGUUUCGAACACUUAACUAGAAUUUCUCCGUCCCCAUUCAUCCACGACACCGUUACUUCGCCCACGUCGAACCUGUGUUGCUUCUCCAUUCAAUUUCUUUUAUGAUUUUUGUUUAUUUUGCUAAAAAAAAGGUUUAAGAGAAAAUGAGUGAAAGAAAAGGUUACAAUAAUGGUGGAUUGGGCUAAGUUUUAAAGAGUAGAUUAGGAUAAAGAUUAGGAUAUCUAUUAACAUAUAAUAGAUAUCGACUAUAAGAUAUAUUUCUUAACUGAUAAGAAGCAUAUAAUUUAUUCUUAUUCUAAACUUAUUAGAAUAAAUCAUAAUUCACAUUUUAUAUAGAUUGUGUUAAAUUAUAACCCGCUAAUAUGGACACACCAUAUGGCAACAGCAGUAAUGAGCUGUCACCAU
rnacentral:lncRNA from 1 species